GACGAACGCUGGCGGCGUGCUUAACACAUGCAAGUCGAACGGAAAGGCCCUGCUUGCAGGGUGCUCGAGUGGCGAACGGGUGAGUAACACGUGGGUGAUCUGCCCCUUACUUUGGGAUAAGCCUGGGAAACUGGGUCUAAUACUGGAUAGGACCAUGCUGUAGGUGGUGUGGUGGAAAGAUUAGUUUCGGUAAGGGAUGAGCUCGCGGCCUAUCAGCUUGUUGGUGGGGUAAUGGCCUACCAAGGCGUCGACGGGUAGCCGGCCUGAGAGGGUGGACGGCCACAUUGGGACUGAGAUACGGCCCUGACUCCUACGGGAGGCAACAGUGGGGAAUAUUGCACAAUGGGCGCAAGCCUGAUGCAGCGACGCCGCGUGGGGGAUGACGGCCUUCGGGUUGUAAACUCCUUUCAGCCAUGACGAAGCCCUUGUGGUGACGGUAGUGGUAGAAGAAGCACCGGCUAACUACGUG
rnacentral:rRNA from 1 species